rnacentral:rRNA from 1 species
UACGGGGGGGGCAAGCGUUGUUCGGAAUUACUGGGCGUAAAGGGCUCGUAGGCGGCCAACUAAGUCGGAUGUGAAAUCCCCAGGCUUAACCUGGGAACUGCAUCCGAUACUGGAUGGCUUGAAUCCGGGAGAGGGAUGCAGAAUUCCAGGUGUAGCGGUGAAAUGCGUAGAUAUCUGGAGGAACACCGGUGGCGAAGGCGGUUCUCUGGGCAUGAUCUGACGCUGAGGAGCGAAAGUGUGGGGAGCGAACAGG